GCGCGAAAACUUUACAAUGCGGGCAACCGUGAUAAGGAAACCCCGAGUGCCAGCACAGGCUGGCUGUCCGCCAGUUUAAAUAACUGGUGAAGAAAGGGCCGGGCAAGACCGGUGCCAGCCGCCGCGGUAAUACCGGCGGCUCGAGUGGUGGCCACUAUUACUGGGCUUAAAGCGUUCGUAGCUGGUCUGUUAAGUCUCUGGGGAAAUCUGCCGGCUUAACCGGCAGGCGUUUCAGGGAUACUGGCAGACUAGGGACCGGGAGAGGUGAGAGGUACUCCAGGGGUAGGAGUGAAAUCCUGUAAUCCUUGGGGGACCACCUGUGGCGAAGGCGUCUCACCAGAACGGCUCCGACAGUGAGGGACGAAAGCUGGGGGAGCAAACCGGAUUAGAUACCCGGGUAGUCCCAGCUGUAAACGAUGCGCGUUAGGUGUAUCGGUGACCACGAGUCACCGAGGUGCCGAAGAGAAAUCGUGAAACGUGCCGCCUGGGAAGUACGGUCGCAAGGCUGAAACUUAAAGGAAUUGGCGGGGGAGCGACCACAACA
rnacentral:rRNA from 1 species